CCAGAAUGGACAAGGUCAGAAAUGAGUAUAUCAGAGGGAUAGAUCAGCUUGAGCAAGGGUCAAGGCUGCGAUGGACAUGUGCAGAGGAGGCUUAGUGGACAUAUUGGACAAAGGACACUGAAUAUAGAGCUACCAGGCAGACGAGGAGGUGUGACAGAAGAGGAUGCUAGAGAUGGAGACAGAUGAUCUAUUGUGGUAAACAAACAGAGGAAGAAAUGGAAAGAGACAGGCGACAGAUGGGGAGAGUUUUUGUAGCACGAGGUGAAGUCUUGUAACGACAGUGCUGAGAAACCCGAGUAAAUGGAUUACCACAGUUGGCUGCGGGGUGAGAUGCUUUAUUUUUAACGUGAGAGGAACGGUAGGUAAAGAAAUAUGAUACUAAACACAACCUCAGCCUUCUUGCCUGUGAGGGGUAAGUUGAUCCAGCCGACACACUCGAAAAAAUGAUUCUUUGUCCUCAAUAAACAUGAAGCACUAAUUUUGAGCAGAAUACUACUGAAAUAGAUAAAAUCAAAUGUUUAUUUUGUCAGAUAAUGACUGUAUUAUUUAAAGGUUGGUUGAAAAUAAGAGGAGAAAGCACAAAGGGAGUAACGUUUUUGUUGUUUAGUCCGAGGUAAACAUGUUGCUGAACAUCUUGUUGGACUAGUGCACAGUGACUGUGGUGCUCAUGGUCAGAGCUGGGUUACAUCAAUGCUUAGAUUCAUUCACUGAAUUCCACCUUCAGACCAACUGUAUACUCUGUAGUAUAAAGACAGUCUAAGCAGUAUUCUGUCAGUGUAGAGGAUGGAAAUCAGCCAGUACUCAUGAAACAUCUGCUUGCAUCUUGUUGAAUUCAGCUGUGCACAUUCACAAAGAGCAGCAAACCUAUUCUAUAUUUAAAAUAAUAAAUAUGCUGUUCAUUGUUAUGAUGCAAUAUGAAUUUUAGGAAUUUUAGGAAAAAAAAGUGCUUCUGACAAACCAGAGCAAAAUUUUUGCCGAAGUUGCG
ensembl:lncRNA